rnacentral:rRNA from 1 species
UACGGAGGGUGCGAGCGUUAUUCGGAAUCACUGGGCGUAAAGGGCGCGUAGGCGGCCUGGUAAGUCAGGGGUGAAAUCCCACGGUUCAACCGUGGAAUUGCCUUUGAAACUGCUGGGCUUGGAUCCUGGAGAGGGUGGCGGAAUUCCUGGUGUAGGAGUGAAAUCCGUAGAUAUCGGGAGGAACACCAGUAGCGAAGGCGGCCAUCUGGCUGAUAACUGACGCUGAGGUGCGAGAGCGUGGGGAGCAAACAGG